rnacentral:rRNA from 1 species
AUUGAACGCUGGCGGCAGGCUUAACACAUGCAAGUCGAGCGGGGAAGGGUAGCUUGCUACCUAACCUAGCGGCGGACGGGUGAGUAAUGCUUAGGAAUCUGCCAUUUAGUGGGGGACAACAUUCCGAAAGGAAUGCUAAUACCGCAUACGUCCUACGGGAGAAAGCAGGGGAUCUUCGGACCUUGCGCUAAAUGAUGAGCCUAAGUCGGAUUAGCUAGUUGGUGGGGUAAAGGCCUACCAAGGCGACGAUCUGUAGCGGGUCUGCGAGGAUGAUCCGCCACACUGGGACUGAGACACGGCCCAGACUCCUACGGGAGGCAGCAGUGGGGAAUAUUGGACAAUGGGCGGAAGCCUGAUCCAGCCAUGCCGCGUGUGUGAAGAAGGCCUUAUGGUUGUAAAGCACUUUAAGCGAGGAGGAGGCUACUAGUAUUAAUACUACUGGAUAGUGGACGUUACUCGCAGAAUAAGCACCGGCUAACUCUGUGCCAGCCGCCGCGGUAA